UGUCCACACAUGUAUUACUGAUACAAAUUCUUUUUUAAAAAGAAAAAUUCGCAUUUAACAAUUUCCUUUGUCUUUGGGACAAUCUAUACGUUUACGAAUACGUAUUACCUGCGCUAUAAAACAAGGGGCCUUCCAUAUGAUGUUGUUAUUGACAACUACCUGGGUUCGUACUAAAAACAAAUAUGCAUGAUGCGCAGGGUCAUCAACCAUUCAGAGCAAUACACAUGCUACAUGUGCCGCCGACAAAAAGGGGUCAUCUUUGUUUCGCAACCACACAGGUAACAGCUUAAAACCAUGCAAACCAAACCCGAGUCGCAGUCAUUACAACGCUCAGUCUAAUGUACGCAUUUUCCAAGAGAAGUCAUCGCCGGAACAAACAAAAAGUGUGAUAUAAACUUGCAAGAAUACAAUUGCAGGAAGAAAUGUAAUAUGCCGCAAUUGCAGUGGUCUAGCCGAAACAAGAGUUAUCAACGCUACUUCUCAGAAUAGCUUGUACAUACAUCAUGAAGCGUGACACGGCUCGAUAUUUGCUGGUCAUCAUUUAACUUUGUUUGCAGGAACUUUUAAAAGUGACAUGCGAACUACAAUUUAUGCAGCGAUGGAAUAUUUUAACGCAGAUGAUUUAUACUAAUUAACGCAGAGGGGCGGACACCUUUCUUGUCUAUAAAAUAUUGUGAAUAUGGCGUAACGAGACUUCUGUGAAAAUAUCCUAUGCGACUUAAUUAAAAUUGGUAAUUUUUCCAAAGCCAUUGGAAACUAAAAUUGAAAACGUUUUGCUUUUAUUCGUUAAAAAAAAGUUUGUACAGAUUUAUUAACACACAGUAAA